CAGAAACCAUGAGACAUUCUGAGGUAAAUCCAAAAUUCCAAACACACUUGAAUCCCAGCCUGCUUGAUCAAGCUGUAAGUUCAUAUAGCAAGACAGAAGAAAUAAAUGUGGCAAUGUCGAGUGUGUGAUUUAACUUCAUCUGUGCAAAUUGUAGGGCUGAUAGCUGAGAAAGAGGGAGCAGAACUCGAACAUUUAAGCUGACUUCGGCGCUCUAUUCCUGGCUAAAACCACACUACAGGCACUAACAUGGAGCAUAUGUUGCAAAGUAGUACACUAGAUAUAUAAAAUGAAGAAAACAUAUUUAGAUAUAUUUAAUUUAUAAUAUAUUUCACCAAUAACGCUUUGGAUUUUGGAUAUUAGGCUCCUUCCGAAUAUUGUCUCCAAACAUAUAUAAAAAAGAAAAUUUGUUGGAAUAAAACUAAUGACUGAAGAUAA